UUUAGUAUGUUAAAAGAAGGGACCGAGGUCAGUGUGGCUACAGUGUAGUGAGCUAGAAGAGCAGGAAUGAGAUGAAGUUGACAGGGCAGGGAUCUUGACCUUGUAAGCCAUUAUAAAACACUUGGAUUUUACCUUAAAAGCAGUGUUAAGAUUAAUAUCCUGAUGCCUGUGAACCUGAGCUUUAAAAUGCAUUCUUUUUUUUUUAAUCACUUUUUAAACUUUACAGCUAACAGGAAAUAUACUUCAUUUAAAAUUUUUAAAUUUAAGUAUUGCUUCUUUUCCAACUCUUGUGCUUUUCUUUACAUUAGAAUCAUCUUAUUGUGAAGGUUCCUCCCUAUCAUGACCAACAUAUAACUUUGCCUGUGUCAGUGGGAAUAUAUGUAGUGACAAAUGCUGGAAGAUCUCAUGAUGUUCAACCAUUCACUUACACUCCAGACCCAGCAGCAGCUGGUGCUUUGAAUGUAAAUGUGAAGAAGGAAAUAUCUAGUCCAGCAAGACCUUGCUCUUUUGAAGAGGCCAUGAAAGCAAUGAAAACUACUGGAUGUAAUUUAGAUAAGGUAAA
rnacentral:lncRNA from 1 species